CAAUAUAUACAUCAAUUUCUAUAAGUUUACACAAGACGUGAAGUUUCAGAAGGUAUUAUAACCUGAGACUACUAUAACAUAUGUGUUAUAGUAGUCUCAGUUAUAACACACUGACUUUUUAAUCAAAUUCGGGACCUGCACGAGAAAUUAAGAGCACUGACACGAAACACGGAAAAUAAAUAAGGGGAAACACGAAGCACGCAAAUCGAGCCAAACACGAGAACACGAGAAAUAACACGUUAAAACACGAAAAUACGUGAAAUAAAAAGGCUGAAAACGUUGCACGAAAAUAACCCUUUACCACCC
rnacentral:lncRNA from 1 species